GUAGGUGGCAAGCGUUGUCCGGAAUUAUUGGGCGUAAAGCGCGCGCAGGCGGUUCUUUAAGUCUGAUGUGAAAGCCCACGGCUCAACCGUGGAGGGUCAUUGGAAACUGGAGAACUUGAGUACAGAAGAGGAAAGCGGAAUCCCACGUGUAGCGGUGAAAUGCGUAGAGAUGUGGAGGAACACCAGUGGCGAAGGCGGCUUUCUGGUCUGUAACUGACGCUGAGGCGCGAAAGCGUGGGGAGCAAACAGGAUUAGAUACCCUGGUAGUCCACGCCGUAAACGAUGAGUGCUAAGUGUUAGGGGGGUUUUCCGCCCCCCUUAGUGCUGCAGCUAACGCAUUAAGCACUCCGCCUGGGAGUACGGCCGUAAGGCUG
rnacentral:rRNA from 1 species